CCUACGGGGAGCAGCAGUGAGGAAUAUUGGUCAAUGGACGCAAGUCUGAACCAGCCAUGCCGCGUGCAGGAAGACGGCUCUAUGAGUUGUAAACUGCUUUUGUACGAGGGUAAACGCAGAUACGCGUAUCUGUCUGAAAGUAUCGUACGAAUAAGGAUCGGCUAACUCCGUGCCAGCCGCCGCGGUAAUACGGAGGAUUCAAGCGUUAUCCGGAUUUAUUGGGUUUAAAGGGUGCGUAGGCGGUCGGAUAAGUUAGAGGUGAAAUCCCGAGGCUAAACUUCGGAAUUGCCUCUGAUACUGUUCGGCUAGAGAGUAGUUGCGGUAGGCGGAAUGUAUGGUGUAGCGGUGAAAUGCUUAGAGAUCAUACAGAACACCGAUUGCGAAGGCAGCUUACCAAGCUACUUCUGACGUUGAGGCACGAAAGCGUGGGGAGCAAACAGGAUUAGAUACCCUAGUAGUC
rnacentral:rRNA from 1 species